rnacentral:lncRNA from 1 species
CCUGGCUGCAGAUCGCCGUUCCGGUUUAAAUCCCUCUGCUGGGGGGGGGGCAGGUGGGAGGUUUAUACUGCUGGCCCUGGGGGCCUGGCCCGCGGUGCCGUGGAAGGGAGCGGUCGUCCAGGCCCUGCUGCGUUAAACCUCCCUAAAGGAUUUAUCCUGGCUGGCCGGCCCCGUGGCCUUGCCAUGACGAAGCCCGGUCUGUGGCUAUUUCUAACCUGCAAACACGGAAGUUUUUCUCUCCAGAAGAGACCACAGCUUGCGGCUAGUGAACCGUUCUCCCUCUGUGCUCUCCUGCCCAGUGCAGAUCCAAAUGCUGUGGCUACCAAGGCUUGUUACUUCUAUGAGCUGGAUCUUGUGAAUCCAAGAGCUACUUGACAGUUUCCAAGGCAACCACCUGUGGAAUAAUUAAAAAAGAUGAAGCAUCAGUAUGUCAGAUAUAGGGAAUCUUGCCUGGAGAGAGCCCUUUGUUUUCACCUGCCUUGAAGAAUUGAAAGCAUUUCUGCCAGCAGAGUUAAGAAGUUUAAAAAUGGUGACUGAGUUGUACAGGAGAACCAGGACAAUCCCAAAAAAUUCAGAAGAUGUCCGUGAUCAUACGGGUAUGACUAGCAAAGGAGAGCUGGUUCUAGUGCCUGCUGCGUUUUGGAUUUGUUUCGUGCCAGGAAGGAGUCGAGCUUCUGACUUCUGAAUAAUACCUAAACUUUGUGUGUGAUACUUCUCCUGAUAAUACAUUGGUAAGUUUAUGUCCUCAUUUUCAGUGCUAGCAUGAUACCCUCUUUACUCGGGCUGUAAUUGAAAGAAAGGCUGCAACUGCUCUUUGAACAGCUCUUCUUACUGGAGCAGCUUUUGCAGAAAACUCUAGCUGGCCCAGCCACAGUUUGGGAAUAAGUAAAUAAGGGGCCAGACUUUG